UUCCUCAGCAUAUGGACAUGGCUGAAAGCUAGAAGAGCAAGCUGUUCCACGAAGUCUCAGCAGAGGCUGGAAUGAGACAUGAACUCCACAUGUGGAGAGGCAACCACAAGUGAAGACCUUUGCAAUUCUGAAAUAUUAGACACUUACCAAGUUUGAAAGUAUAGGCAACAACUAUGAAGACAAUAAGAUUCAUUAUGACGCCCAUUCUGGUUUGACUAUUAUCUUCUUUUGAAGUCCUAUAAUGUCUCCAAUGUUUUGGUUUUAUUGGUUUUGUUCUUUACUGUUUUGUUCAAUUUUAUUAUAACGAAUGAUAUAGGCAACUCUUUUUAAGAUAGCAAGAGGCAUUAUGGUAACCAAUGUUGAUCACCUUGUAUUUUGUUUUUACAUUAUGUAUUAUGUCCAUCCUUUUGAUUUGACUGACUCUGUCCUGGUAUGUCACAUUUGGUUUUACUCUCUUCAAAAAAAAGUAAUAAGAACAGUUGGAGUAAUAAAACCCAAAAUGUGUAAUUGUCAUUGUACAAAAGAGAGGAAAAGAAAGUGCUCUAAAGGACAUAACUGCAUGUAUAUUUAAGUGUAUAAGACAGGUAAUCAUAUUACCGAGUUUUACUGGAUCAUUGAACAGAACUGUUUGCAGUCUCACUGUUUGAAUGUCCAUUCUAUAUGCUUUAAUUUUGUAACUUGAACAACUAUUUCCAAGAUAACAAUAUGUAAUCUAUUAACUAGUGAUUUCCUACUGUUUAUUUUUUCUGAAAUUCUGUAUAAUUAGUACCCUUUUUCUGUUUUUUUUCUUUUUUCUCCUUAAAUAAAAUUAAAAAAUAAACAAAAACAAAACAAAGAUA